GACAGAGGGUGCAAACGUUGUUCGGAAUUACUGGGCGUAAAGCGUGUGUAGGCGGCUAUGUAAGUCGGAUGUGAAAGCCCCAGGCUUAACCUGGGAAGUGCACUCGAAACUGCGUAGCUAGAGUAUCGGAGAGGUUGGUGGAAUUCUCGGUGUAGAGGUGAAAUUCGUAGAUAUCGAGAGGAACACCGGUGGCGAAGGCGGCCAACUGGACGAAUACUGACGCUGAGACACGAAAGCGUGGGGAGCAAACAGG
rnacentral:rRNA from 1 species